UACGUAGGGCGCAAGCGUUGUUCGGAAUUAUUGGGCGUAAAGAGCUCGUAGGCGGCUUGUCACGUCGCUUGUGAAAGCCCGAGGCUUAACCUCGGGUCUGCAGUCGAUACGGGCUAGCUAGAGUGUGGUAGGGGAGAUCGGAAUUCCUGGUGUAGCGGUGAAAUGCGCAGAUAUCAGGAAGAACACCGGUGGCGAAGGCGGAUCUCUGGGCCAGUACUGACGCUGAGGAGCGAAAGCGUGGGGAGCGAACAGG
rnacentral:rRNA from 1 species